UACAGAGAGUGCAAACGUUGUUCGGAAUUACUGGGCUUGAAGCGCACGUAGGCGGCGUUGUAAGUGUCGGGUGAAAUCCCACGGCUCACCCGUGGAACUGCCCGGCAUACUGCGAUGCUAGAGUGUGGUAGGGGAGAGCGGAACUCCUGGUGGAGCGGUGAAAUGCGUAGAUAUCAGGAGGAACACCGGUGGCGAAGGCGGGAUCCUGGGCCAGUACUGACGCUGAGGAGCGAAAGCGUGGGGAGCAAACAGG
rnacentral:rRNA from 1 species